ACUACGGGAGGCAGCAGUGGGGGAUAUUGCACAAUGGGGGGAACCCUGAUGCAGCGACGCCGCGUGGGUGAAGGAGUGCUUCGGCAUGUAAAGCCCUAUCGGCAGGGAAGAAGCAAGACGGUACCUGACUAAGAAGCCCCGGCUAACUACGUGCCAGCAGCCGCGGUAAUACGUAGGGGGCGAGCGUUAUCCGGAUUCACUGGGUGUAAAGGGAGCGUAGACGGCCAUGCAAGCCAGGGGUGAAAGCCCGGGGCCCAACCCCGGGACUGCCCUUGGAACUGCAUGGCUGGAGUGCGGGAGGGGCAGGCGGAAUUCCUGGUGUAGCGGUGAAAUGCGUAGAUAUCAGGAGGAACGCCGGCGGCGAAGGCGGCCUACUGGACCGCGACUGACGUUGAGGCUCGAAAGCGUGGGGAGCGAACAGGAUUAGAUACCCGUGUAGUC
rnacentral:rRNA from 1 species